AAAUCUCAUCCCAUCGGGUUUCCGAUGACGAUGGACUUGGGUGUUGCCGUCUGGCUCGCCUUAAUGGUGUUAGCGGUUCAAGGUUGAAUCUGGCGUAAUAAGUUUCGCUGGUGAAGGCUGGAGACCGCUUCUAAUCCGUCUUCUGACAUCUUUUG
rnacentral:misc_RNA from 1 species